rnacentral:rRNA from 1 species
GAUGAACGCUGGCGGCGUGCUUAACACAUGCAAGUCGAACGGAAAGGCUCCUGCUUGCAGGGGUACUCGAGUGGCGAACGGGUGAGUAACACGUGGGUGAUCUGCCCUGCACUUCGGGAUAAGCCUGGGAAACUGGGUCUAAUACCGGAUAGGACCACAUUUUGGAUGGUGUGGUGGAAAGUUUUUCGGUGUGGGAUGAGCUCGCGGCCUAUCAGCUUGUUGGUGGGGUAAUGGCCUACCAAGGCGUCGACGGGUAGCCGGCCUGAGAGGGUGUACGGCCACAGUGGGACUGAGAUACGGCCCAGACUCCUACGGGAGGCAGCAGUGGGGAAUAUUGCACAAUGGGCGCAAGCCUGAUGCAGCGACGCCGCGUGGGGGAUGACGGCCUUCGGGUUGUAAACUCCUUUCGCUAGGGACGAAGCGCAAGUGACGGUACCUGGAGAAGAAGCACCGGCUAACUACGUG